rnacentral:rRNA from 1 species
GGGGGGGGGGGGGGGGGGGGCGAGCGGGUGCGAGUCGAGGGGCAGCGCAGUAAGGGCUGGCUCUUACGUGUGGCGAGUGGCGGACGGGUGGGGAAUACAUCGGAAUCUGCUUUUUCGUGGGGGAUAACGUAGGGACACUUCCGGUAGUACCGCAUCGGACCUACGGGGGAAAGCAGGGGAUCUUAGUGCCUUGCGCGUAUUAAUGAGCCGAUGUCUGAUUGGCUAGUUGGCGGGGUAAAGGCCCACCAAUGCGACGAUCCGUAGCUGGUCUGUGUGGAUGAUCAGCCACACUGGAACUGAGACACGGUUCAGACUCCUACGGGAGGCAGCAGUGGGGAAUAUUGGACAAUGGGCGCAAGCCUGAUCCAGCCAUACCGCGUGGGUGAAGAAGGCCUUCGGGUUGUAAAGCCCUUUUGUUGGGAAAGAAAAGCAGCAGGUUAAUACCCCGCUGUUCUGACGGUACCCAAAGAAUAAGCACCGGCUAACUUCGUG